CCAUGGGGUUGCAAAGAGUUGGAACCAACUGAGCGACUUUCACUUUUCAGUUAAACUUAAUUGUUAUCUCUGAGAGCCUGAGGGUAGGGAAAGGGUGGUUUAAAGUUUCUGCUUUAAUAUUCACUCUCUUCUGCAAUCCUCUUUCUAAGUCUGACCCCUGACUCAAAUAUUUAGCAGUUUCCCAGGCAGAGCUCUUUGACUAAUCUCCCCCUCAGCACAGGAAGCCCCCAGGACCCCUCCUGGAAGACAGUCUAGAUGAAAGCAACAGACCUCAUUGCUGUUCUUGCUGGGUGACUGCCUGCAGUACAAGAGGUUUUUCCCCUAAGCAGCGCCCCCAGCAGAUUUUGGGGAUCGUGAAAAAUAUGGGCUGGGAGUGGGGAAUUCCCCAGUGCUUGCCAGCCCUGUCUCACUGAUGGUGUCAAAAGAGUCACUACUAGCUCCCUAGUUGCUGGGCAUAGUGCCAUCUGUGCUCCUGGCAGUCGAGUUCCCAGCGGGCACUGCCCAUCUGCACCCCAGCCUGGCCCACAGGGGUAGAGUCACACUCAUGCUAUUGGGGAAGCAGAGCAGUGGUAUGAUCUGAGAAGGGAGGGGGGUUUCAAAAGCCUUUCCUGGGAACACCCCUUUAUCUUUGCUUCCCUGAGGCUGCAACCUAGUAGUGCAUUACCCAGUUCCCUUUACUGGCUGCCCUUUCAGGCCUUCUUACACUUCACAAGGCCCUCAUUUUCUCUUCAUUUACUCAGGGCUUUGAGAACAAAGGUGGCAGCCUCCUGGUGAAAAGAACCCCAGACACACCACUUCUCUCCCCUUUAGUCUGUGCCCUCCCGGACCACGCUUCCCCCAAAUCUUACAGCAUCAACGAGGCCUGCCCAGCCAGAAUGCAAUCACCUCUAGGAGGGCAGUGGCUCACUGUUGGAUCUCCAGUACCCAGAACCUGGCGCAUCACAGGUCUGAUGGCUUUGGGAGUCACACGACAUCUUCUCUGGCCCACUGGAGACAAGUCACAGCAGGACCGGAAGAUCCCACAUCCACUCGCAUGCUAUAAAAACCCGCUUGCUAUCCACAUAAUGUAAAAAUCUCCGUGCCAGUUUGGGACCCAGCUCUGGGCUCCCCACACCACAGUCCUCAC
rnacentral:lncRNA from 1 species